CCCACUCGGUCCGUAUUGGGUCUGCAAAGCGGCACGAGCCAUUGAAUCCACCACGACCGACCUCUCUUCCUGGCGCGGCGACGACUCUUUUUUGGUUUUUUGGUUUUGGUCCGGCAGCCCGGCUUCUGCUUCCGCUUCCACUUCCGCUGUUGAUUUACGGACUGUGAGAAAGAGGAAUUUGAGGAGGCAUGGAGGAGGGGGCGAAGAAGGCGAAGGGAGAGGCAGAGGAGGAGAUAGCGAGGGCGAUGCGGGCGCGAGUGAGCCACUUCAAAGAGCAGGCUGACUCGUUGACUCUUGAAGGUGUCCGAAGAAUACUAGAGAAGGAUUUGGGAAAGGAGGCUUUCUCUCUAGAUGUUCAUAAACGGUUUAUUAAGAAAUGUUUGGAUGAGUGCUUUUAUGGUGCUGAAGAUGAGAAGCUGUCUGAAACUUCAGGAAAGGUCAAAGCAACGGCUGCUCAAACUGUCAAAGAAGGAUCUGAAGCCUUGCAGUUAAAAACUGAUAGCAGUGGCCUCGAAGAGAAGAUAGACGGAUCUUCUGCUUUGGAUGGAAAUGUACCAGCAGAGCAUGAAAGUGGAAAUAGUCAAGCUGCUGAAUUUCAUGGCCUCAAUGAGGACGUGGUAAAGAAGGCUCUGAAAAAGAGAACUACUUACAUAAGAGAUAAUUUAGAGCGUAUUACUUUACAGGAAGUUCGUAGGAUUUUGGAAGAUGAUCUCAAACUAAAGAAGAAAGCUCUUGAUGCCUAUAAAAGUUUUAUUAGCAAAGAAUUAGAUGAACUCAUACAAUCAUGUGAAGGAGUUGUCGAAUCCACAAAUGGGGUGAAGAAGAGCAGUAAGAAGUGUUCGCAAAAUGUGGAUGAAGAAGAUACUAGCAAAGGCCGAAAAAGAGUGCAUCAAGAAUCAGAUUCUUCUGAUGUUGAUGAUACGCAUAGUGCGGAUGAAGAACUUGAUAAUGAGAAAAGGCUGAAAAAGGAGGCUCAAAAAAUUAAAGUAAGCACCAAAGGUAUAAAAAGGCAAAAGCCAGCAGAAAAGGAUUUAGAUCGCAGUUUAGAAGAAGAUGGAAGAAACUCUUCUGAAGAUGGUCAUUCUCAUUCAUCCACCGAGGAGAAAGUGAAGAAUAAACGAGAAAAGGCCACUCAAGUAUAUGGGAAACAAGUAGAGCAUCUAAAGUUGAUAAUUAAAUCUUGUGGAAUGAGUGUCCCUCCAUCAGUUUAUAAGAGGGUCAAACAAGCUCCUGAAAGCAAGCGUGAGGAGUACCUGAUAAAGGAGUUAGAAGAGAUGCUUGAAAAGGAAGGGCUGUCAAGUAAUCCUACUGAAAAAGAGAUUAAGGCUGUCAAAAAGAGAAAGGAAAGAGCAAGAGAACUCGAAGGCAUUGAUCUAAGCAAUAUUGUCACCAGUUCGCGCCGAAGAUCUUCAAUCAAUUACAUACCUCUACCAAAGCCUAGAAUAGAAGUUGAGAGUGAUGAUGAUGAAGAAGAGGAAGAUGAAGAUGAAGAUGAAGAUGAUGAGGAUGGUGAUGACAAUGAAAAGGAUACAGAUAAUGGCGGUAACAAUGGUGGAGAUUCGAGUGAAGGUUCGCUAUGAGAAUGAUGCCUCUGUUGCUGGUCAAUCUGGACUUCGGGUUUAUAUCAGACGGAAUACAUCCUGGCCUAUUGCAAUCACUUCUCCUACUGGUCCGGCACCUCCCACAAUUUGGACCUCCACCUCCCCCCCUCACCACCCCCCCUCAAACCUGAUGCCGCCCUACCGAUAGCAUUCUCUGCUUUACCUACUACACCUAUCAGUUCCCCUUUACCUUCCCGUACUCACUCUAUGAUCACCCGAUCCAUGAUGAAGGAUUUGCUUGCCUGAGUCUACCACUUUUCUUGCUUCUAAGAUCUCUAUUCUUCCUACCGAGCCUAACUCUUUUGCUGAGGCUUCUCAAGAUGCAGGUUGGCAUGCAAUUAUGGUUGAAGAGUUUGAUGCCUUAUUGGUCAACUCUACUUGGGAUCUUGUUCCUCCCUCAUUCGUCAACCUUAUUUGCUGCAAGUGAGUGUAUUAGGUCAAGCAGAAGGCCGAUGGCUCUUUUGAGCGUUUCAAAGCUCGACUUAUGGCUCAGGGCUACAAGCAACAAUAAGAUGUUGAAGAUGAGAGUGAUUGAAAGAUACUGUGAGUUUAUACUUCUUCGCCAGUAUUUCAGGAUUGAACUGUGGCAGCUAAAGCUAGAGUUUCACACUAAUCUUACCCUCCUGUAAGUAGAUCUGUAAGUUAUGUGAUGGAAUUGUGCUGCGUUGUCCUGCAAGUUCUGGGUCCGGUUUACGUGUUUACAGAGUGAGAUGUCAAUGCUAGCCUUUUUUUUUUUUUGUAGUUU